rnacentral:rRNA from 1 species
UUGUUGGUGGGGUAAUGGCCUACCAAGGCGACGAUCAGUAGCGGGUCUGAGAGGAUGAUCCGCCACACUGGAACUGAGACACGGUCCAGACUCCUACGGGAGGCAGCAGUGGGGAAUUUUGGACAAUGGGGGCAACCCUGAUCCAGCCAUUCCGCGUGAGUGAAGAAGGCCUUCGGGUUGUAAAGCUCUUUCAGCUGGAACGAAACGGUACGCCUUAAUACGGUGUGCUAAUGACGGUACCAGCAGAAGAAGCACCGGCUAACUACGUGCCAGCAGCCGCGGUAAUACGUAGGGUGCGAGCGUUAAUCGGAAUUACUGGGCGUAAAGCGUGCGCAGGCGGAUUGUUAAGCAAGAUGUGAAAUCCCCGGGCUUAACCUGGGAAUGGCAUUUUGAACUGGCAGUCUAGAGUGUGUCAGAGGGGGGUGGAAUUCCACGUGUAGCAGUGAAAUGCGUAGAUAUGUGGAGGAACACCAAUGGCGAAGGCAGCCCCCUGGGAGAACACUGACGCUCAUGUACGAAAGCGUGGGUAGCAAACAGGAUUAGAUACCCUGGUAGUCCACGCCCUAAACGAUGUCAACUGGUUGUUGGGGGAGUGAAAUCCCUUAGUAACGAAGCUAACGCGUGAAGUUGACCGCCUGGGGAGUACGGUCGCAAGAUUAAAACUCAAAGGAAUUGACGGGGACCCGCACAAGCGGUGGAUGAUGUGGAUCAAUUCGAUGCAACGCGAAAAACCUUACCUACCCUUGACAUGUCCAGAAUCCUGCAGAGAUGCGGGAGUGCCCGAAAGGGAAUUGGAACACAGGUGCUGCAUGGCUGUCGUCAGCUCGUGUCGUGAGAUGUUGGGUUAAGUCCCGCAACGAGCGCAACCCUUAUCAUUAGUUGCUACGCAAGGGCACUUUAAUGAGACUGCCGG